rnacentral:rRNA from 1 species
GAACUUAAGCAUAUCAAUAAGCGGAGGAAAAGAAACCAACAGGGAUUGCCCUAGUAACGGCGAGUGAAGCGGCAACAGCUCAAAUUUGAAAUCUGGCCUUCGGGUCCGAAUUGUAAUUUGUAGAGGAUGCUUUUGGUGCGGUACCUUCCGAGUUCCCUGGAACGGGACGCCUUAGAGGGUGAGAGCCCCGUACGGUUGGAUACCAAACCUUUGUAUAGCUCCUUCGACGAGUCGAGUAGUUUGGGAAUGCUGCUCUAAAUGGGAGGUAAAUUUCUUCUAAAGCUAAAUACCGGCCAGAGACCGAUAGCGCACAAGUAGAGUGAUCGAAAGAUGAAAAGCACUUUGAAAAGAGGGUUAAAUAGCACGUGAAAUUGUUGAAAGGGAAGCGUUUAUGACCAGACUUUUUCUAGGCGGAUCAUCCGGUGUUCUCACCGGUGCACUUCACCUAGAUGAGGCCAGCAUCGGUUUCCGUAGAGGGAUAAAAGCUUUAGGAAUGUGGCUCCUCCGGGAGUGUUAUAGCCUAUUGUAUAAUACCUUUAUGGGGACCGAGGUACGCGCUCUGCAAGGAUGCUGGCGUAAUGGUCAUCAACGACCCGUCUUGAAACACGGACCAAGGAGUCGAACAUUUGUGCGAGUGUUUGGGUGUUAAACCCUCACGCGUAAUGAAAGUGAACGGAGGUGAGAGCCGCAAGGUGCAUCAUCGACCGAUCCUGAUGUUUUCGGAUGGAUUUGAGUAAGAGCAUAAAUGUUCGGACCCGAAAGAUGGUGAACUAUGCGUGGAUAGGGUGAAGCCAGAGGAAACUCUGGUGGAGGCUCGCAGCGGUUCUGACGUGCAAAUCGAUCGUCAAAUCUGCGCAUGGGGGCGAAAGACUAAUCGAACCAUCUAGUAGCUGGUUACCGCCGAAGUU